UACGGGGGGGGCAAGCGUUGUUCGGAAUUACUGGGCGUAAAGGGCCAGUAGGCGGCCAACUAAGUCCGACGUGAAAUCCCCAGGCUUAACCUGGGAACUGCGUCGGAUACUGGAUGGCUUGAAUUCGGGAGAGGGAUGCAGAAUUCCAGGUGUAGCGGUGAAAUGCGCAGAUAUCAGGAGGAACACCAACGGCGAAGGCAGCUCUCUGGGACGUUACUGACGCUGAGACGCGAAAGCGUGGGGAGCAAACAGG
rnacentral:rRNA from 1 species